rnacentral:rRNA from 1 species
GAUGAACGCUAGCGGCAGGCUUAAUACAUGCAAGUCGUGGGGCAGCGCAGGUAGCAAUACUGGGCGGCGACCGGCAAACGGGUGCGGAACACGUACACAACCUUCCUACAAGUGGGGAAUAGCCCAGAGAAAUUUGGAUUAAUACCCCGUAACAUAGCGAUGUGGCAUCACAUUGUUAUUAUAGCUUCGGCGCUUGUUGAUGGGUGUGCGGCUGAUUAGAUAGUUGGCGGGGUAACGGCCCACCAAGUCUACGAUCAGUAGCUGAUGUGAGAGCAUGAUCAGCCACACGGGCACUGAGACACGGGCCCGACUCCUACGGGAGGCAGCAGUAAGGAAUAUUGGUCAAUGGACGAAAGUCUGAACCAGCCAUGCCGCGUGAAGGAUUAAGGUCCUCUGGAUUGUAAACUUCUUUUAUCUGGGACGAAAAAAGGCGAUUCUUCGUCACUUGACGGUACCAGAUGAAUAAGCACCGGCUAACUCCGUG